rnacentral:misc_RNA from 1 species
GACCAACUUCCCCUUUCUCCUUGCUUCGAGCUCGGUUGAGUAUUGCGUACGCGAGCGCAAGGCCAUCCGGGAUCUUUCACACGUUGAUCAGCCAUGUGGACCACGAGCAUGGCACUCAUGAGCAAGCGCUCCAUGAAGUAUCAAACCAAGCUACGUCACCGAUUUCGAAACCCAUCCGUGCUUCCGCUAAAGCAGACAAAAGCGCAGCGUGACGAGACCAUUCGCUCAGUGCUGCAGGUGCGCAACAUCAACCCCGCCAACCAGUCGUCGUACCGUUAUGUCGAGCAGCGCCUCUACUCGACCGGGUCUCGACUCGAUCGCGAGGGAGUGAAGCUGAAUACGACAUACGCUCUUCAAGGCCUUGGUGACUUGGAGCCUCUACGCAACAGCAAGAGCUUCGGCUUUUCGGAGCGCGAGGCACUAAAGUACGACUCGCUGCAGCAAGCAGCCAAGUACGAGGCUCCUCCCGUGCCCUUCACGCCGCUGGCAGCGCGCAAGCUCGCCGAGGGAAAGCUGUGGCCUCGCGCGCCUGAGCCGGAUGGGAUGCUAAGCAAGGAGGUUCGCUAUCUGCGCCACCGAGCAAACAUGUCCCCGUCCGCGCAGACCUUCGCGGAUAAGAUUGCCUAUCAUCUUAGGCGCUCCCUCAAAGCCUGCCCUGCCCACAUCGCCGAGCAGAUCGACUUUGCGCAGCUGAUCAUCGAGGAGGUGAUCGCGUCACGCCGCUCCAAGUCGGUGUACAUCGUGUGGGCCACCGUUGACCCGGCCGCGCGCUUUGCGAUGGAGCCGCAACUGCACCGCCUCAAUCACUGGGUGCAGCGGCUCAUCAUGGAGCGCAUUCGAACCCGGCCGAACAUUCCGCAGAUUGCAUGGAUCUGUAACGGUGGCAGGCUGGAGCGCGAACUGCCGCGUGAGCUGACGGAGGAGAUGCACGCGUACGCCAGCGACAACUCGUCGACGCUGGAGAUGCGGGUCAGGUAUCUGAAGGAGAUGGACACGGUGAACCAGCGCAUGCGCAACAUCCCAUGGUUCAUGCCGUACCUCUGGAGCAAGGAGGAAAAGGCUGUCAAGACGCGGCGCAUGCGCAAGGACUUGGAGGAAUAUGAGCAGCGACGCCUGGCGGCGAAGAAGAAUCAGCGGGAGUCGGAGCGGGACAUGAGUGGACGAAGCGUGGCCCCACAGAUUGGCGCGCCUCCCGCCUACGUCCGCUAAAAAGGCUCAUGUCCUACGAUUUUGUUGCUUCUCCACUGCUGCGCACGCUUUUCACUUUUGCCUUCCCCAUCGUUUCCUUUCGCUCCUUUCGUGCGCCGCGUCGCUGUGCUCGCCUCCUCCUUGCUUUUACUGUGCCCAGGCACGACUUAACUCGUCCGCCUUUUUCUCUCCGUCCCUGCUCGUCUCGGCACACUCUUUUCUUGCACGAGUGCCGAGCGCCCUGGCAUUUGUGUGUGUUCUCCCUUCUCGGCCUUUGGCGCGAUCACCCUCAUGACCGAGGCUGCUGAAAGAAAAAUUGCGCCUUCGCGUUUAAGGAGAGAGGAGGCGAGGGAGCCACCUCAUCGCAGAGAAAGCUCACAAGUAAAUGAUAAAAUGGUUGACGGGAGCAAUCGUUGCACCGACAUGCGAUGUGACACACACACACACACACACACACACAUACAGACACGUGCCAUGAGGAGGGAGACGCCGAGGCUGCUGGAGAGAGCGCGUUAGGGAAUGGUGAGGGCAAAAGGCUGCCACCAACAUGAAGCGCCCUCACGGCGGAAGGGAGCUCAACCGUGCCGCCCUUCUUUUACUUAUCACCGAUGCACAUGUAGGGGGGCAUGUGCUUUUCUUGUGCUUUUUUUUGGUUGCUGCUACCGCCUCAACACUGACGUGUGUGUGUGUGUGUGUGUGGCCAUCACCUCCUCGCUGCUCAGCUCCUUCGCUUCCUUUUUGCAUGUAUUUCAUAUGACAUGUUUCUCUUCUAUUUUGUCCUCUUCUCUCUCCCUCUGCACCCUACGCGCCGCAG